rnacentral:rRNA from 1 species
AUUGAACGCUGGCGGCAGGCCUAACACAUGCAAGUCGAACGGUAACAGGAAGCAGCUUGCUGCUUUGCUGACGAGUGGCGGACGGGUGAGUAAUGUCUGGGAAACUGCCUGAUGGAGGGGGAUAACUACUGGAAACGGUAGCUAAUACCGCAUAACGUCGCAAGACCAAAGAGGGGGACCUUAGGGCCUCUUGCCAUCGGAUGUUCCCAGAUGGGAUUAGCUAGUAGGUGGGGUAACGGCUCACCUAGGCGACGAUCCCUAGCUGGUCUGAGAGGAUGACCAGCCACACUGGAACGGAGACACGGUCCAGACUCCUACGGGAGGCAGCAGUGGGGAAUAUUGCACAAUGGGCGCAAGCCUGAUGCAGCCAUGCCGCGUGUAUGAAGAAGGCCUUCGGGUUGUAAAGUACUUUCAGCGGGGAGGAAGGGAGUAAAGUUAAUACCUUGGCUCAUUGACGUUACCCGCAGAAGAAGCACCGGCUAACUCCGUG